UAUUUUAUUUAUUUAUUUAUUCUUCUUCUGUGACUAUUGGGUCAGAGACUUGGGUGUGUUAUGCUAGUAGCAGCUAAUGUAACCUCAAGCAGAGCUGAGGAGCAAGCUACAGAGGUCUGGUAAGCUAUCCUCUUCCUAAAUCCACAUCUCCAGGUUUUGUUUUUCAUUUUCAAACUUGUCAUCUUCAGUCCCAAACAACGCUGACUCAAGUGACAUCACUUGAGGACAUUUAUCAGACUUUGCACAUCUCCCUCUGGAGCCACAAAAAACUUUAUACUUCAUGGAUUUCAUAUAUGCAGUAGUACUCCCCAAAGGCAAAGACAACAUCAGGUGUUUCAUGUUUUUUAUGCAUAACUAGGUUGGUCAUUAAGUUACACACAUAAAUCCUUAAUACACUAACUUCUUACAUAAAUAUAGG